AGUAGCCGACCUGAGAGGGUGACCGGCCACAUUGGGACUGAGACACGGCCCAAACUCCUACGGGAGGCAGCAGUGGGGAAUAUUGGACAAUGGGCGAAAGCCUGAUCCAGCGACGCCGCGUGAGUGAAGAAGUAUUUCGGUAUGUAAAGCUCUAUCAGCAGGGAAGAAAAUGACGGUACCUGACUAAGAAGCCCCGGCUAACUACGUGCCAGCAGCCGCGGUAAUACGUAGGGGGCAAGCGUUAUCCGGAUUUACUGGGUGUAAAGGGAGCGUAGACGGUUAAGCAAGUCUGAAGUGAAAGCCCGGGGCUCAACCCCGGUACUGCUUUGGAAACUGUUUGACUUGAGUGCAGGAGAGGUAAGUGGAAUUCCUAGUGUAGCGGUGAAAUGCGUAGAUAUUAGGAGGAACACCAGUGGCGAAGGCGGCUUACUGGACUGUAACUGACGUUGAGGCUCGAAAGCGUGGGGAGCAAACAGGAUUAGAUACCCUG
rnacentral:rRNA from 1 species